rnacentral:lncRNA from 1 species
CGAGAGAGCGCUCAGGCCAGCUAGGCGUUGUGUGAUCAGCAGCUGGCGCGGAAGCUUCAGGUGGACAGUGAUCGUGGAACUUGCAGGGAAACUGAGGCUCAGGGUGGAGCUCCGGGUCCUGGGAUGCGCUGAGGCCGCCGUUUUCCUCUGCAGUUGCGGAAGAUGUCGGACAGCGAAGACAGCAACUUCUCGGAGGAGGAGGACAGCGAGCGCAGCAGCGAGGCGGAGGAGGCCGAGGUAUGCCCAGUUGUUCCAGAAGUGUAUACGUAUUGCCUACUCUGUGCCAGCCACAAUUGUUUGUCCUUGGGCUCCUGUUAACAGAUUUUAAAAUGUAAAUCGACAACUGAUAAGUGAACAUGAAUUUGCUAAUGUGAAUACAUAUAGCCAAUUAAUAUAAGACUCCUAGGUUCAGCAUUACUAAUCUGAAAAUCCAAAUUAUUUUGUAACUUUGAGUCUUGUAUUGAUGCCCCCGAAU